CAGUCGCCGCGGGAAUACGAAGGGGGCUAGCGUUGCUCGGAAUGACUGGGCGUAAAGGGCGCGUAGGCGGAUGGCACAGUCAGAUGUGAAAUUCCCGGGCUUAACCUGGGGGCUGCAUUUGAUACGUGUUGUCUAGAGUGAGGAAGAGGGUCGUGGAAUUCCCAGUGUAGAGGUGAAAUUCGUAGAUAUUGGGAAGAACACCGGUGGCGAAGGCGGCGACCUGGUCCUUUACUGACGCUGAGGCGCGAAAGCGUGGGGAGCAAACAGGAUUAGAUACCCGCGUAGUCCCUGUCUCUUAUAC
rnacentral:rRNA from 1 species